GAUGAACGCUGGCGGCGUGCCUAAUACAUGCAAGUCGAGCGAACAGACGAGGAGCUUGCUCCUCUGACGUUAGCGGCGGACGGGUGAGUAACACGUGGAUAACCUACCUAUAAGACUGGGAUAACUUCGGGAAACCGGAGCUAAUACCGGAUAAUAUAUUGAACCGCAUGGUUCAAUAGUGAAAGACGGUUUUGCUGUCUCUUAUAGAUGGAUCCGCGCCGCAUUAGCUAGUUGGUAAGGUAACGGCUUACCAAGGCAACGAUGCGUAGCCGACCUGAGAGGGUGAUCGGCCACACUGGAACUGAGACACGGUCCAGACUCCUACGGGAGGCAGCAGUAGGGAAUCUUACGCAAUGGGCGAAAGCCUGACGGAGCAACGCCGCGUGAGUGAUGAAGGUCUUCGGAUCGUAAAACUCUGUUAUUAGGGAAGAACAAAUGUGUAAGUAACUAUGCACGUCUUGACGGUACCUAAUCAGAAAGCCACGGCUAACUACGUG
rnacentral:rRNA from 1 species